rnacentral:rRNA from 1 species
AUGGGGGCCUAUGCUGCUGGGAGCUGCAGGGAGGUCAGAACAUCUGUGUGCAUUUGGGUAUUACUUGCUGGCAUCUUCACAUAUGUCGCACUUCAUGUAGUGUUCUUCCGGCAUCUAGCGCCUGAAUGGCUCCGAGACAUAUUCAGCAAUAUCCAGAGGUUCUGGGAGGAUUCUAUAGCACAAGUUUUCAGCAGAAGGCACAACAUCAGAGAUGAACCAGAUGCUCCUCUCCAUGAUAAAGAGGAGGCACUGGAGCAGAAUCGCAGUUUCUUGCUGGUUGCUGCUACAUUGGCAGCAGCAGUGACAUAUACUGCAGGGCUAAGUCCUCCGGGUGGCUUCUGGCCUGACAACAAUGGUAGCCACAUUGCCGGUGACCCGGUGCUUCGAGAUCACUACCACCGCCGCUUUAAGGCAUUUAUGGCCUGCAAUUCAACUGCCUUUUCUGGAUCCCUUGUCAUCAUCAUCAUGCUCCUCAGUAAAGCGGGAGUGAAUCACAUUUCCAAGUCAAACGUACUUCGGUUGUGGGUUCUGAUUAGCCUGCUUGGCCUUAUGGCUGCUUAUGCUGCAGGGAGUUGCAGGGAAGUCCGUACGUCUAUAUUUGUGUUCUCGCUUGUCGGUGCGGUCCGGCUCUACCUCAUCAUUCAAUGGGUCGCUCCUAUGGUGCCCAAGCCAGGAUUUAUCAGGGAGUGGAUCAAGUGGAUGGAAGGAGAGCAGAAUAAGCUGAUGUUGAAGCUAAACUCCUUUAUGGACAGUUGCAGCAGAUCCAGUGGGCAGGUGACACCAUUAGAGUAUGAUAGGCAACAUUCAUACAACAAUGAUGCAUCAAACACUGUUAGUAAUGUGAAAGAUGACUUGGGGAAGUUGCGCACAUACCUUUUAUUGCUUGGCAUCCUUGCUGUGACUAUUACAUACCAAGCUGGGUUGCACCCCCCGGGCGGGUUUUGGCCAGACAGUCGAGAUGAGCAUCUUGCUGGAGAUCCAAUCCUAGAGGCCAUCCAUCCCAUGUGGUACAAAACAUUCUUCUACUGCAACGCCACUGCAUUCGUCGCAUCAUUGGUUAUCAUCACCCUACUCCAGAGCCAGCUAAUCACCAUAGGUGCCAUGAAACGAUAUGUGCUGCAGACAGCCAUGGUUUUUGACCUCUUCAGUAUAAUGGGGGCAUAUGCUGCUGGCAGCAGCCGGACUUUAUCCACAUCAAUCUAUGUGAUAAUCUUAGUCAUCCUUGUUUUCUCUUAUGUUGUGCUCCAUAGUGUGCUAUUUGUGGACGCAAGAGUUCCCGAUGAAUCAGCUCAGCAGCAAGAUGAUAACCCUGAAGUGAAAGAUUUGGAGAAGCGGCGCAAGUUUCUAAUGAUGCUUGCAAUUCUGGCAGCAUCCAGCACAUACCAAGCUGGUAUAAGUCCACCAGGUGGCUUCUGGGCUGACAACAGAGAUAGCCACGAGGCAGGUCACCCAUUGUUCAGUGAUGAGUUUCCACGCCGUUACCAGGCUUUCAUCUACUUGAAUUCCACUGCUUUCAUGGCAUCAUUGGCUGUAAUUAUGCUGCUUAUUAGUAGAAGGCUGUGCCACAAGGGAUUGCAGGGGUACACACUGCGUGCAUGUGUGCUACUAGAUCUGAUCAGUCUCAUGGGUGCUUUUGCCACUGGAAGCUGCCGAAAAGUGUCAGUGUCGGUUUAUGUCAUUCUAGUCUUGGCUGCUGUCUUUGCGUGCAUCAUGAUUCUAGUUCUGGUUCUGACUUUUGCAAAAGAUAAGGUGAUCAACUUCUUUAACUGGAUGUUUCACAUCACUGCUUUCAAGCGUCCGAAUCCACCCAAGAAUCAUGAUAGAAGCAUCAAAGUAAACAAAAAAACUAGCCAAAAAUGGCGUAAAGACUUGAUGCUGAUUGGAACUUUCACAGUGUCCGUUACGUACCAAGCUGGGCUCCUUCCUCCAAGUGCCCUUUGGCCUGAUGACCGCGAUGGCCAUUUCACAGGUGAUCCAGUCAUCCAUGAUACCCAUCCGAUACGGUAUAAGGUAUUCUUCUACUGCAGCGCCACGGCGUUCAUGGCAUCGAUGGUUAUAGUCAUCAUGCUGCUGAACAGCACAAUAAGUAAGUACAAGAGAUCUCUACUUGCAAUGAAAACAGCAAUGGUGAUGGACUUGCUUGGUCUGCUCGGGGCGUAUGCUGCAGGCAGUUGUAGGAACUUGAAGACGUCGGCAUAUAUUUUCGCACUCGUCAUUGCUGUCUUCAUCUAUAUUGUCAUUCACAUUUUGCUGUCGUUCGAUAAAAUGGCACGAUUGGUAAGGACUAUGGGAGAACAAUGGAUGCCAUGCCUGACGAAGAUAUGGGUACUCAUUGAAAUUGAACCUUCAAACCAUGACCCAUCUACUGAACAGCCUUGA